rnacentral:siRNA from 1 species
UACUACAACAUGUGUGCUUCGA